GUGGGGAAUAUUGGGCAAUGGGGGAAACCCUGACCCAGCAACGCCGCGUGAGGGAAGAAGGUUUUCGGAUUGUAAACCUCUGUCCUUGGUGACGAAGGAAGUGACGGUAACCAAGGAGGAAGCCCCGGCUAACUACGUGCCAGCAGCCGCGGUAAUACGUAGGGGGCAAGCGUUGUCCGGAAUGACUGGGCGUAAAGGGCGUGUAGGCGGCCGAUUAAGUCUGGAGUGAAAGUCCUGCUUUCAAGGUGUGAAUUGCUUUGGAGACUGGUUGGCUUGAGUGCGGAAGAGGUAAGUGGAAUUCCCAGUGUAGCGGUGAAAUGCGUAGAGAUUGGGAGGAACACCAGUGGCGAAGGCGACUUACUGGGCCGUAACUGACGCUGAGGCGCGAAAGCGUGGGGAGCGAACAGGAUUAGAUACCCUAGUAGUCC
rnacentral:rRNA from 1 species